rnacentral:rRNA from 1 species
GCCUGCCCUGUGACAAUGUUUAACGGCCGCGGUAUUUUGACCGUGCGAAGGUAGCGUAAUCACUUGUCUUUUAAAUGAAGACCUGUAUGAAAGGCAUCACGAGAGUUUAACUGUCUCUAUUUUCUAAUCAAUGAAAUUGAUCUUCUCGUGCAGAAGCGAGAAUAUUACCAUUAGACGAGAAGACCCUAUGGAGCUUCAAACACUUAAAUUAAUUAUGUAAAAUUAUAACCCCCCGGGUUAAAAAUCAUUCAUAUAAUAUUCCUAAUUUAACUGUUUUUGGUUGGGGUGACCGAGGGGGAAAGAAAAUCCCCCUUAUCGACUGAGUACUAAGUACUUAAAAAUUAGAACGACAGUUCUGAUUAAUAAAACAUUUACCGAAAAAUGACCCAGAUUUUUCUGAUCAAUGAACCAAGUUACCCUAGGGAUAACAGCGCAAUCCUUUCCCAGAGUCCCAUCGCCGAAAGGGUUUACGACCUCGAUGUUGGAUCAGGACAUCCUAAUGGUGCAACCGCUAUUAAGGGU